GCUCCUCCUGGAAACGGCCAGGACGGCAGGCGACGCCACCGACUGACUCUCCCCUCAGGAACACAUGGCGGAAAAUUAAAAAUAAAACUCCCCAGCCGAACAAGGUUGGGUAAGGCCUGGCCCGAAGAUUUGAGAACUACAAAUAUUACGCUCUCGUUCAAAAAAAGCUGGACACAAGUCCAGAAAUUUCAGACCAGUGAUUUUAACUUCAGUGGUGGACAAACUUCCAGGAACAAUUAUUUGGGUUAGAACUGAUGUUCACAUGUUAAAAUGUGAGUUACUUCAGAAAAUUCAGCAUGGAUUAAGGGAAAAUCAUUUCUCACGAAGUUGCUGGACAUUUUAGAAAAGGUAACUGGGAGGGCUGACGAGGGCAAGGCUGUUGAUAUGGUGUGCGCAGGCUUCCAAAUGGCAUUUGAGACAGUCACGCAACAGGCUUUUGAGGAAUGUGAUAGGUCUUGGAAUUGAAUAGACAGUGGUAAUGUGGAUGGACAAUUGGCUGAAGGAUAAAAUAUUGAGUCAUGGUUAAUGAGUUGGUUUCAGGCUGGAGUAAUGUUUGUAGUGAAGAUUCCACAGGGGUUGGUAUUGGGACCCUUGCUUUCCCUGACAUAGAUAAAUGAUCCAUUUCUUGCCAUGAAGCCACCAGUUUCAAAGUAUGUGGAUGCACAAAAUUUGGAGGAAUUGUUAACUGUGAGGGGGAUAGUGUAGAACUUCAAAAAGACAUUGAUAAGCUGGUAUAGUGGGUGGACAGGUGGCACAUGAAAUUCAAUGUAGAAAGGUUUGAGGUCAUACACUUUGGGACAAAGAACGUGGAGAGACAAUAUGAGAUAAAGGAGUACUAUUCUAACGGUGCACAGGAACAAAAAGACCUGAGUGUAUUUAUACUUAAGUCAUGAAAGGUGGCAGGACAGGUAGAAAGAGCAGUUAAUAAAGCAUACUGUAUUAUAUGCUUCAUUAAUAGGGGCAUAGAGUACAGGAGCAGGGAGGUUAAGCUGUAUAUGACAUUUGUUAUACUUCAACUAGAGUAUUUGUACAGUUCUAGGUGCCACACUUUUGGUAUAAAGGUUGUGAAUGCAUUGGAGAGAGAGCAGAAGAGCUUAAUGAUGGGAAAAGGCAGGAGUUUCGCAUUACGUCAAAAUGCUCAGAGAGCUGGCCCUGACAUGAUAAGCCAAACAGCCUUCUUCUGCAGAAUAACAGUUCUCUGAUUCUCUGAGUCAUUGUUGGACUGCAACAGGGGCCACUUUGGACUGGGUUGAGUUGGGGGGAUCGGGGUCACAGCAUGUCAGUUGGAGGGGUGGUACUGUAGGUGGAGAUUCAGUGGUGAGGGAGGCUGGGUCAUUUCAAUUGUUACCCGCAAGUUAGAGUAGGUUAGUAACCCUCUGAUGUCUCCUGGGUAAUUGUUAGCUUAAAUGAGUCAAUACCCUCUGAAAUCUCUGACUUUAAUGGACUUUUUCAGAGGGUUCCAGACGCGCGGGAAUUACGUAUCAUGAAAUUGAAUUUUCCAAGCAAUUCCAAUAGAGUGUUGGGCACUCUGCAUUGUACUGACAUGCAACUCUAGUCAACGCUGCUCCAAGGACUCUGUGGCCAUAGAAUAUCUGGGCCAUUCCUUUAUUUAAGAAGCAUCUCACUGUGCCUUUAUCCAGCCACAAGGCUGAAAAAGAGCAAGAUUGUGUGGCAUUGCAUCACUUCCUGGGAUGAUAUAUACUCUCUCACAGGCAUAUGACGCAGUCAUACUUAGCACCUUUUACCACAAGAAGAAGGGAUCACCCAUUUAGGACUGAGAUGAGAAAAAACCUUUCCAUUUAAAAGGCUAUGCUUCUUUAGAAUUCUCCAUCUUAGAGAGUUAAGGAUGCUCAGUUAUUGAGCAUGUAUUGUAGACAGUUUGGUCAGUUUUUGGGAAUGAAAGGAAUCUAGGAGAGAACAUGAGAUAGUAUGAUUGGCGAACUUGACGUAAAUGAUCUCAAUAAAUGCGGAGGGCAGACUCAACGAACCAAAUGGUCUGACUACUCCUACUUCUCAAUUUCUUGUAUUCGGAAAAGGUUAAUGGCAUACUCAGGAGGUACUUGAAGAGGAAUAGUAGUUUAGGGGCCCAGUCAAUAAUUGCAAAUGACUAGAACAACACAGAUCCUUCGCUCCUCAGUGCUGCCCCUAUCCAACUGCAGUUGCUAUUGUGCCAACAUAGUUUCCAGUCUCCCCGAACACUACUGCAAAGGUUAUUGGCAGGGAAAACAAACACAGGAUUUAGGCGCAGGAGUGGGCAGUUCGCUCUUCAAGCCUCCUCUGCUAUUCAGUAAGAUCAGGACUGAGCUGGUUGCAGUCUCAACUCCAUUGUGUUAGUUCUAGACAGGAACUCAAGGUGGAGGUAAACUUACAUUAAACAGAGGAAACAAUGUCUGGAUUGACAGCAGCAUUUAGAGAAGACAAUUAACAGUUAUAGUAAGAUAGGAGAGGGAUCGUGUUUGGUUGCAGCAUCUUGCAGUGGAAAGGGGUACAUUGAUGGCAGCAAAAAGAAGAAAUGAAAGGUAAUGAAGAAAGCCAUAGAGUGAUGGAUGGGCAUUGAAACAAAUUGGAUGGCAACGAAGGAGAGUGAAUGGUCCAGGAUGGUGCACCCUCAGUGAAACUGCAGCCUUGCAAACCUUGUCCCCACAUCUGAUAUUUGAAAAUUAAAAUUUUGAAUUAAUAUGAAAAUUCUGUAUUUAUAAUUUCAUUUUACAUGACAAAGAAUAUUAAAAUACUGAUUGCACAUUCUCAUUGUUUAACACGUUUCACAGGAUAUGUACUAUAAGAAGUGCAGAUUAUAAUGUGGCUCACAUGAACCAAUGCUUGUAGAAUUACAGUUCAAUGACAUGAAGAUGAACAUCUGAGAUAAACCUGAUGUUAUUCUGGCCUCAGUAGUUAGGUGUUAAUACUCUUAGAAUUUGUGCAGCACAGAGCAUGUUUUUCUGUAAUUUUACCAUCAUGUAUAGUCUGUUAAUAAACAUUGUUUAAAAGUAA